rnacentral:rRNA from 1 species
GUGAGGAAUAUUGGACAAUGGGCGCAAGCCUGAUCCAGCCAUGCCGCGUGCAGGAAGACGCAUCUAUGGUGUGUAAACUGCUUUUGUACGGGAAGAAACACUCCCUCGUGAGGGAGCUUGACGGUACCGUAAGAAUAAGGAUCGGCUAACUCCGUGCCAGCAGCCGCGGUAAUACGGAGGAUCCAAGCGUUAUCCGGAAUCAUUGGGUUUAAAGGGUCCGUAGGCGGUUUAAUAAGUCAGUGGUGAAAGCCCAUCGCUCAACGAUGGAACGGCCAUUGAUACUGUUAGACUUGAAUUACAAGGAAGUAACUAGAAUAUGUAGUGUAGCGAUGAAAUGCUUAGAUAUUACAUGGAAUACCAAUUGCGAAGGCAGGUUACUACUUGUGGAUUGACGCUGAUGGACGAAAGCGUGGGGAGCGAACAGGAUUAGAAACCCGAGUAGUCC